AGAUUGAACGCUAGCGGGAUGCUUUACACAUGCAAGUCGAACGGCAGCGCGGACUUCGGUCUGGCGGCGAGUGGCGAACGGGUGAGUAAUAUAUCGGAACGUGCCCAGUAGCCGGGGGAAUAACUACGCGAAAGCGUGGCUAAUACCGCAUACG
rnacentral:rRNA from 1 species